rnacentral:rRNA from 1 species
AUGAACGCUGGCGGCGUGCCUAAUACAUGCAAGUCGAGCGAACAGACGAGGAGCUUGCUCCUCUGACGUUAGCGGCGGACGGGUGAGUAACACGUGGAUAACCUACCUAUAAGUCUGGGAUAACUUCGGGAAACCGGAGCUAAUACCGGAUAAUAUAUUGAACCGCAUGGUUCAAUAGUGAAAGACGGUUUUGCUGUCACUUAUAGAUGGAUCCGCGCCGCAUUAGCUAGUUGGUAAGGUAACGGCUUACCAAGGCGACGAUGCGUAGCCGACCUGAGAGGGUGAUCGGCCACACUGGAACUGAGACACGGUCCAGACUCCUACGGGAGGCAGCAGUAGGGAAUCUUCCGCAAUGGGCGAAAGCCUGACGGAGCAACGCCGCGUGAGUGAUGAAGGUCUUCGGAUCGUAAAACUCUGUUAUUAGGGAAGAACAAAUGUGUAAGUAACUAUGCACGUCUUGACGGUACCUAAUCAGAAAGCCACGGCUAACUACGUG